GACCUCAAUCUAAUCGGACAAUUUGGUGUCGGAUUCUAUUCGGUGUAUCUGGUUGCUGACUAUGUUGAAGUCAUCAGUAAACAUAACGAUGACAAACAGCAUGUAUGGGAAUCAAACGCUGAUGGAGCAUUUGCAAUCUCCGAGGAUACAUGGAAUGAACCAUUGGGACGUGGAACCGAGAUUAGACUGCAUCUUAGAGAAGAAGCUGGGGAAUACUUGGAGGAGAGCAA
rnacentral:misc_RNA from 1 species